GAUGAAGAACGUAGCGAAAUGCGAUAAGUAAUGUGAAUUGCAGAAUCCAGUGAAUCAUCGAAUCUUUGAACGCACAUUGCGCCCGCCAGCAUUCUGGCGGGCAUGCCUGUUCGAGCGUCAUUUCAACCCUCGACCUCCCUUUGGGGAAGUCGGCGUUGGGGACCGGCAGCACACCGCCGGCCCUGAAAUGGAGUGGCGGCCCGUCCGCGACGACCUCUGCGUAGUAAACCAACUCGCACCGGAACCCCGACGUGGCCACGCCGUAAAACACCCAACUUCUGAACGUUGACCUCGAAUCAGGUAGGACUACCCGCUGAACUUAAGCAUAUCAAUAAGCGGAGGA
rnacentral:misc_RNA from 1 species